rnacentral:rRNA from 1 species
CCCUUAGAUGUUCUGGGCUGCACGCGCGCUACACUGACGAAUGCAACGAGCUUAUAACCUUGGCCGAAAGGUCUGGGUAAUCUCCAAAUUUCGUCGUGAUGGGGAUAGAUUAUUGCAAUUAUUAAUCUUCAACGAGGAAUGCCUAGUAAGCGCAAGUCAUCAGCUUGCGUUGAUUACGUCCCUGCCCUUUGUACACACCGCCCGUCGCUCCUACCGAUUGAAUGGUCCGGUGAAGCGCUCGGACCGCGGCCUCUUGACGGGUCUCCGUCGAUUGGCUGUGGGAAGUUCGUUAAACCUUAUCAUUUAGAGGAAGGAGAAGUCGUAACA